AGGAAAACCUUUAUCUAUCCUUGAUGGCAUAUUUGUCGCGAUAAAAGAUGAUAUAGAUUGCUAUCCUUUCCCAUCAAAGAGUGGAACAUCAUGGUUGCAUAAUACAAGGGAGG